CUCUCUCUCUCUCUCUCUCUCAUUCCAAUUACAACAGUCAGACCCUUUUUCUCUCCCUUUAAUCUCAAAAUUUCAUGCUCCCUCUCUCUCGAAGGAAAUGAAAAGCCUCCAUUGAAGCUCCUAGGCUUAUCUUGAAGAAACAAGUCACAAAAGAGAACCUAGGAGUGUUGCAUGCAAGAUCCAAGAGCUUCUAUGGUAUAUUUUGAGCUUUGAACAUUAACAAGGUAAGCAAAAAUGUAAGACGGAUCAGUGAGCGCUAAGUCUGUCAUGCAUAAUGUACAUGUGGCCUGACUGUGGAAGUCGCUAUGCUUUUGUCAAUUUCUAAGUUGUGUAAAAACUUUAUGUCGUUUAUGUUUAGGUUGUUUUAAAGUUUCAAAUACUGUAAUCUUAUUUUAAGCAUGCGCGUGCUUCUAAUCUAAGUACGUAUUUCAAAGUUUUUUUUGUACGAAUUUUUGAGUCUUUUAAUUAAA